UCCCUUUCAGGCUCCCUUUCAUGGGGGCCAAUCUGUUGACAAAUUGUCCCUUUCAUAGUUGAGGGAAGCUUAACAAAAGAAAAGUUUAAUAGACUCACCAUUGAGGGCACAGCAAUUUAGCAAGAAAUAUGGCUGAAUGACUUGCAACUGUCUUCACAGUGCGUCUUCUAGAUUCUGGCGCAAACCCAGCUGCCAUAACAAACAGAACGACCAGAUUUGCUUCACUGUCGAAUGUUUUGUGUCAGGGCUGCUUCAGAAAGCUCAUCCUUUUCUGGCUCCCCAUAAGAAUCUGGGUCUAGUCCACAGGUGCCGUGGUCAAGGAGAAUCAAAUCAGGCAGAAAUCCCUGCCAGCUACUCACAGGGACACGAGUUGCUAGCAGGACGUUGGAGUCUGCUGGCUCUGGGACGAAGCAGGUCAAUGUGCUUUUUGGAGGUGAGGACUAUGUGUCUAUUUUACCUUUGUUACCUGGCACAAGAUGGGCAAUGUGGAUCUUUGUGUUUGAGAAGAACAAAAAUUGACUAUAAUGAAACCUCUCUGACACAGGAUUUAUGAACAGCUCUCAAAGGACACACAUGAACAGGCAGUUUCUUGGCAAAGGGGUAAACAGAACAGAGUCAAACCAACUGAGAUAGUGUGUAGCAAGGGGCAAUACGCAAUACAUCAUCCAUAGCAUCAGUUGGGUGAAUAAGAAAGACCUCUAACCGACAACAUAUGGACAGAGGGAUAGAAGCAGGAGCGGAAGAGAUCCCUCAAGGGCGAAUGGAGGCUGCCAGAGAGACAAGACUGCUGAAGGGUAACUUAUUGAGCCACUUUUUUUAAAACUGCCUUUGAAAAGAAGCUUGACUGAAAGAAAAGAAUUUAUGCAAUUAGAAUGUAUUUUUCUUUUGUGUUCUUAUCUGCUUCUCUCACAAGCUAUUUUUGGUUCCACUUCUGUGAGAGCAAUCAAGAUGCGCCUGACUGCAUGAGUUUUGGAAAGAGUCAAAGAGAUAAUCCAAGGGAAGCAUGCACAGGAAUGCCUAACACAAAGGAAAUGCUCAGAAGAGGUCUGCUCUUAGUAAAAUACAAUUGUCUGGAAUGCACCUUACCUGUCCCAGGAUUGGUGACAGCUAUGCCCUUACUAGUUUAGAGUUUCUUUGGUUUCCUGUAUCUCACCUAGUCGAAUAUACUUGAAAAAACAUUCUGAAAAUCAUCAGUGCUCAUGUUAUUCAUAGAAAAGGAAGACAUCUGAGACAGGAAAUCUGAGUCUUGUAUCGUGUAUUUCGUAUUGUGUCCUCCUCCAACCCUUUGAUUGUUGGAGGGUCAAACCUAAAUUAGUCAGCAUGGCGACCAAGACCAUCCCCAGUCUACUUUCUCCAGCUUCAAUUCUCCCUACUUCUCUACAGGAAUGUUUCUGUUAAGAAGAUUGCUCCUCCAAUAUUCCUGGUUACCUGCUCACUUACUCCUUGAUCCAAGGAGCCUUCGGCCAGAGCGAUCUUUAUAAAACAGAAGGUCCAUAUGUUGCCCCAUUGAGUCAGAUGGGAGGCUGUUGGAAAGUCUUGAGCAGAAGAAAAUUCAGAGCCUUCGCGAUGGUCCACAAAACUCUGUAGAACCUGGCCCCAGCUACCUGUUGGGUUUCACCUCCCACCUCUCUACUUUUCACUUGUUCCGCUCCAGCCAUACUGGCCUCCUUACUUUCCUCAAACUCGAUAAGAAUCCACUCCCCUAGGGCCUUUGGAUUUUCUGUUCCUUCUUCCUGGAAAUGCCUCAUCUCCAGGUUUCCCCAUGACUCCCUCCUCUUCUUCCUUUCGGUGUCUGGCGAAACGUCACCUUCUCAGAGAGGCUGUUUCCUUCACACGCUAUAUAAGAUAGCAGCACCUCCUUUGUCCCUUUCUAUCCCUUUAUAUUAUUUUUUUCAUAGCACAUGUCACCACUGGACAAGUCUAUCUUU
ensembl:lncRNA